ACAAAUAAAUAAAUAAAUAAACAGCGCCAGUUAUCAACCGACCACCGAAGUUAAGUAACGUUGAGCCUAGUGAGUACUUAGAUGUAUGAUUACUUGGGAAAGCUAGGUGUUGUAAGCG
rnacentral:rRNA from 1 species